rnacentral:rRNA from 1 species
UACGUAGGGGGCAAGCGUUGUCCGGAUUUAUUGGGCGUAAAGAGCGUGUAGGCGGUUUGGUAGGUCCGUUGUGAAAACUCGAGGCUCAACCUCGAGACGUCGGUUGAAACCGCAUGGCUAGAGUCCGGAAGAGGAGAGUGGAAUUCCCGGUGUAGCGGUGAAAUGCGCAGAUAUCGGGAAGAACACCCGUGGCGAAGGCGGCUCUCUGGGACGGUACUGACGCUGAGACGCGAAAGCGUGGGGAGCGAACAGG